CUCUCUCAGCUCAGUGCUCACCCUAUAGACACUGCUUAACAUUAUGUAUACUCUGUCUCAGCAGAAAUUAAAUGGUAUACGUUGAUCCAAAUAUACGGGUGCCUUAGAGCCUAGAAGUACAUUUCAUUCCAGCGGCAGACAGAGACUGAGGGUGAAUUUAGAUCAGCAGAAGGGGUCAUGGAAGACUUCAUAGAAGCAGUGACCUUGGAUCCUGGCCGUGAAGAAUGAGUAGGAUUUUACCAAAUGAGGGAGGGAGGACAGGCAUUCCGUAUAAAAGGAGCAGCUCUGACAAAAAGCCAGAGGAGACUGUGUGUGCAUUGUUUGGAACUGCUGAGUGGACUCUAUUGGGUAGAUCUGAAAGUGCGGGUUAGAGAGUAGCAGAAGAAAAGACUGAAAAGUUGGGUAAUAGUGAGAUCAUAAAUAUGGUGACAAUAAAACUUUUUGAAAUUGGAACACCUUUGAUACUAAACAGGGGUGCUUUAAAUAAUGACACUGACGUGACAGAUUUUACCUGGGACUUUCCUAAGUAAAACAUAGUAAGUGAUCACCUAGUCAUAAAGAGCCUGGAAUGUUAUGCUAAGGAAGUAACUGAUACCUUUAGUCAUAGAUACAUUUUUUAGACAGAUUACUCUGACAGUAGAGUGGAAACACGUGUCAACAAAAAAUUGAGAAUGACAGACCUAUUGAAAGGCAGUUUCAAUGAAACAGGUGAGUGCCACGCACUCUUCAUUUCUCUCAGUUUCCACCUCAAGUUCCACACCCUUCAUGGAGCCUUCUUUGAUGUCCUGCCUGGAUUCUUUGAAGAGGCCACUACCUUGAACUCUCGUCUUCACUCAAGUUCUGAACCAAAUGAAAAGAUAGACCAUAAAUCAGCAGAUGGGAGUGAAAACAUCACCUUUAUUACCAACAGAGGAUGGCCUGAAGAAGAUGGCUUAUAUCUGUAGAUGAGAAUUCCUGUGGAGGAAAGACACAGCCUUUCAUCCCAAGUGGUCAGAGAAUCUUCUCAAGUCAAAUAUGCAGACCGUAAUAUGCCUGAACAUUGGUAUUAUCCUCCCACAGCAUGGCUGGACAAGCAGUGCUUAGGUCCGCACCCAGGAUCCGAACCAGCGAACCCUGGGCCACCAAAGUGGAACAUGCGAACUUAACCACUGCACCACGGAGCUGGCCCCUUAGGUUGCAGCUAUAUGGCCAUGUUCGAGGAAGUUGAAGAGGAAACAAAUAAUGAAGUAUUCAAUAAAUGAAUAUUUCUAAAAAGCAGGCGAGCAUGGAGCUAAUAACUCAACACGAAAUUUUCCUUGGAAAAGGAGAAGUAAAUGAGAAGUAAGGGAUGAUGGAGGCCAUCAGUUAUUUUGAGGUGAUGAAACAGGUGGACAUGCAAGCGACUACUGAGAGUAUAUUGAUAUCUUCAUUAGGACACAAGACCUGCCUCAUAAUUUGGAUGGCCAAGUGCAGAACAAAAAUGAAGAGCCUAUAUUUCAAAAAUUAAGAAUUUCAGGAAGGUAACAACAGAACUUUAGGACUUUAAGCCAAAUGUGGGC
rnacentral:lncRNA from 1 species